rnacentral:rRNA from 1 species
CCUACGGGAGGCAGCAGUGAGGAAUAUUGGUCAAUGGGCGCAAGCCUGAACCAGCCAAGUCGCGUGAGGGAAGACGGUCCUAUGGAUUGUAAACCUCUUUUGUCGGGGAGCAAAAGACGCCACGCGUGGCGUUCCGAGAGUACCCGAAGAAAAAGCAUCGGCUAACUCCGUGCCAGCAGCCGCGGUAAUACGGAGGAUGAGAGGGUUAUCCGGAUUUAUUGGGUUUAAAGGGUGCGCAGGCGGCAGAUCAAGUCAGCGGUAAAAUUGAUAGGGUCAACCGCGUCGAGCCGUUGAAACUGGUUUUCUUGGGUGAGUGAAGAGUAAGCGGAAUGCGUGGUGUAGCGGUGAAA